rnacentral:rRNA from 1 species
UUACCUGGUCUUGACAUCCACGGAAGUUUUCAGAGAUGAGAAUGUGCCUUCGGGAACCGUGAGACAGGUGCUGCAUGGCUGUCGUCAGCUCGUGUUGUGAAAUGUUGGGUUAAGUCCCGCAACGAGCGCAACCCUUAUCCUUUGUUGCCAGCGGUCCGGCCGGGAACUCAAAGGAGACUGCCAGUGAUAAACUGGAGGAAGGUGGGGAUGACGUCAAGUCAUCAUGGCCCUUACGACCAGGGCUACACACGUGCUACAAUGGCGCAUACAAAGAGAAGCGACCUCGCGAGAGCAAGCGGACCUCAUAAAGUGCGUCGUAGUCCGGAUUGGAGUCUGCAACUCGACUCCAUGAAGUCGGAAUCGCUAGUAAUCGUGGAUCAGAAUGCCACGGUGAAUACGUUCCCGGGCCUUGUACACACCGCCCGUCACACCAUGGGAGUGGGUUGCAAAAGAAGUAGGUAGCUUAACCUUCGGGAGGGCGCUUACCACUUUGUGAUUCAUGACUGGGGUGAAGUCGUAACAAGGUAUCCGUAA